rnacentral:misc_RNA from 1 species
AGGGCAUACAAAAAGAUGGAUCGGUACCAGAGGGUGGAGAAGCCGAGGGAGGAGGCUCCGAUAAACGAGAACGAGAUCCGGAUUACCACGCAGGGGAGGAUGCGGAGCUACAUCACUUAUGCCACUGGCUUGCUUCAGGAAAAAGGUUCCAAUGAAAUUGUGUUCAAGGCAAUGGGAAGGGCAAUCAAUAAAACGGUCAUGAUUGUGGAAUUAAUAAAGAGAAGGAUUGCUGGUCUUCAUCAAAUUACUGAUACUGGAUCUACCGACAUAACCGACACAUGGGAGCCACUUGAAGAAGGCCUACUUCCGCUUGAAACAACUAGGCAUGUUUCUAUGAUCACAAUAACAUUGUCAAAG